rnacentral:misc_RNA from 1 species
AAGUCGUAACAAGGUUUCCGUAGGAGGAUCAACACGUAUCCAACGUUAAACCCCCCCGUGCACCUUCAAACACCAUACAGCGCUUCGUGACCCAUCUUGUGUCGGGAUUGAUGGUCGGGAAAACAGGGAUCUAGGGAGUUGGUUGUCGGGGGAGAACCUCGCGAAAUGGGGUGGCACGCCGAGAGGCGGGGACCAUUCCUGGUUGCGAUGUAAACGUGGUCUCCACUUCAACUUGUUUAGUACCUUUUGUCCUCUACCCGUACCGCUUGUCGCCACGAUUUGGAUCUUGAUGCACCCGUUUUCUUAUAACCACCGCUGGAUACCCGAACAACUGUUAACAAUGGAUAUCUUGGCUCUC